rnacentral:tRNA from 1 species
AAUGAUGAGCCUGAUUAAAGGACUAUCGUGAUAGGAUAAAACAUGUAGUUAAAACAACUACCUUCAUUA